AAAAGUAUAAGAUAGAAAACGAGUGACAUUACACGUUCAAAAGGUUUAAAAUUCAUAUAUUAUAUGGAAUAGGGUCGAUAGGGGUACUUAUAAUAGGUACGGGGACAGCACCAGCUGUUGUCGCUGCUGCGCGACUAUCUAAUUUUAUUCGUCACCUCGAUUAAAUAAUUUUCCUCUACUCACUUAUCCUCUCUCGCUCUCACUCUCUCUUAAGCAUUAUUUUGUUCACUGUGCUGUCUAGUAGUAGAUCGUAUCGGAAUGGUGACAAUCGGAACGCGGUGCCAAAACGGUUCGCAGUUUGAGCGGUUGCUGCAGUACUUUGGUUGACAAGAUUUACAAAACACGCUGCCGGAGUGCAGGACGGUGUAGCUGGAACUCGGGAGAAUAAACAGCGAAUGAUUUGGUUUAUGGAACGUCGAUCAGUGUCCGAAAGGUAUGUAAUGAAAUAGAUUUUAUUAUUAUAAUGUGAUGGCUAGAAGUUUACUAAACUGCAAAUAUAAAAAGCUUAUAAUUUAUACUUUAUUAUGAAGGCACCGUAUGGACGUACGAGCCGCAUGAA